GAAAUUAAAACUACAGGAAAUCCUCCAUGAGUGCUCCAGCCCCACAGAGGACUUCAUUACAGAAUUGCUCAGUCGAUUGAGAGGUCUCAGAAGAGUCACCAAUCCUCAGAAGAAAUGACCUUGCUUACAUAGAAAACCCAGCUCUGGUUAUAAGGAAACUUGUAUCUUCCUGACAAAAGCCAGGAUCAGCAACAGAACUUCUGAAUAUGUUUAGGACUUCUUAUUAUUGAGAAAUAUCACCAAGUCUGUGAACUUUGUACCGGUGGUUUGAAGUCUCCACUCCUUCCAGAUCUACACACACAGCAGGGAGCUAGAUUGUGCAUUUUCCUGAUUCUUAAAGAGUGUGUUAACCUGAGGAACAGGACAAGAUGUCCUUCCUUUAGAUUCUUCUAGGAAUUUCCAUGCUGGCCAAGGAGCACUGAAUACAAUUCUCAGGAGCUCAUCAAGACUUCUUUUUUUUUUGUCCACUGCAAGGAAAACAAGGCAUUGGUUAUCACUCAUUCAUCAACAUGGAAAAUCAGCCACUGUUAAGCUGCACCUCAUUUCAGUUUGGCUUGAACCCAACUGUGAUCUCCUGCCUGUUACUGCUGUACCUGACUCUACAGCAUUGCACAUACUUUGUAAGUCUUAAUAAGCCUCUGUUUUUUAUGAAGGUUGGACAGAAAAUAUACUAUAGUUUGGGUGCACCUGGUCUACUUAAGGGGAAUUUUGUGAAACACCUGUUAAGACUAAUGGCUAUUUUUUUUUUCCUUUUUGUGGAAUUUAAGACUUAAAACUUAGAAGGCUUUUCUAAAGGAACAAGGUCUGGGAAUGAUUUUUGUCCUAGUUUAAAAAGAUGUUGGAAAAAUACUUAUUUUAUAUUAAAACAGAGAAAACCAUCCAUA